rnacentral:tRNA from 1 species
GGUUAUGGCGAAGUUGGUUAACGCACCUGACUGUGAUUCAGGCACUCGCGGGUUCGAGUCCCGUUAAU